ACUAUAUUAAAGGGCAACCAACUUCUUUUUUCUCACAAUUUUGGGCCUCUUUUUGAGUUUACCUCAUGAUGACACGUAUGCCAAUUUGUAGAUCAUUUACCUAGUGGUUCUCGUGUGUGCAGUAUUGGUGCCUUAUAGGAAUUUUCCAGGACGUUUUUCUUCUAUUCUGUGAUCUGCUUUUGCGUUGUUUGGGUGGCUUUAGCUGUGAGGCUGGUGAUUGGUCCCACAGAUCUCAGGUUUGGUCGUUUCUGGUCCUAGACUCGUGGUGGGUCUAGACCUGGUCGUGCUAGGUUUUAGUGGCCGACAACUGAUUUAUUUGCUACGUGCAGUGCCGUGGAGAUUGUUGAUCGGUGCACGAUACCCUAGGUUUCUGUCUCUCUUCCCUUAAAAUUGGCUUCGUACGCAGUCUCCUACAGACGGUCCUCCCGGCGACUUCAGCGAGCAGCCGCCGCCGCCGUUUCAUCUGGGGAGAGCAGUGGAGAGGAAGGAGCCGGGAGUGUCUUCAACGACACCAAGACAUCAGCGCCGGCUCGGCCAUCCAUCACCCGUGGCGGAUAUGCACUUCCACCGGCCUUCCCCGCCCCCACAUGACCUCCUCCCUCCUUGAUGCUCCCUGCCCGAGCUCUCCUCGGCCGCGAGCUCCCCUUGCCGAGAUCCUUCGCGUCCGGCGGCGAUGGAGGAUGCCCCUGCCCGCGUUCGAGCCGCCCACGGCCGCGGCAAGCAGCUUCCACCCUUGCGUGAAGAGUGCCUGGAGCCGCGUGCCCGCGUGGCGCGGCGGUCGGAUAUGCUGGGAGCGGCGCGGAGGCGAUCGACAUGGACGGCCUCGACUACAUAGUUCCGGCACACGAGGAAGGUGGCGAGGAGCGCGUUGAGGAGACUGCGCGGGUCGACCGCACGAACUCGGCGUCCAGCGACGGGGCAUACCGGGGGUGUUCCGGGACAGAAGAGGGAGCGCCGGUCGUGGUAGGGCUCCCACGAGAGAUCCCCGUCGCUGGCGAGCAUGGGAGGGCUGCGAGGAGGCAUCCCCCACCGGCGACGACAGGGGGGAAUAAAAGACGCGUAGCCUUGCCUGGUCGACGAACUCACUGAGUAUCAUGGCCGGCAAGAUCAUGCUGGUGAUGACCACGAGAUGGAGAAGGGGAAUCGGAAGCUCAAGGCAGCAUUGGACGCAAUGACAAGAGAGAUCGAACCAUUGCGUAAUUGGAGGAUCUGGGGAAGGAGAUUUCAGGUUCUCGAGCCAUGGAACGAUGAUAUGUUCCAAGGAGCACACACAAACAGGUUCAAGACGGCCGGGUGUGACAUUUCCAUGGCUCGGUCGAGGAAGGAUCUGUCGGAAAGCAUGUGUCCAUCAAGAACAUUCAUAUCAUUGUUAUUGCCGUGUCAUAGGCAAGUCCAAUUUCUAGCUUUCUUUGCAGCUAGCCAUUUCUGCUACAGAUUUUCUGUUUACAUUUGCUUUAUUUCAAGACAAGUUACAUAUUUUCCAUCGAACAUAGGCUAAUUGAUAUCACAGUGAAGGCUAGAUAGAUCACCUCUAGAUAUAUCAAUUUUAAAAAAUAUGAUAUGAACUUUUCAUUGGCCAUUACUCAAGGUUAAUUUUUUUCAUAAUUCAUGUACAUCGUUUUGCCCUGCAGAAAUAAAUGUUGCAGACUGUUCAUUCAUCUCCUAGGCCACUGUUGAUUCAUGACAUACUUUACUUGAUAUUUUACUUCUCGAAAACUGGCAAUCUUGACUUUUAGUGGUUAUCAUCCAUAAUAGGUUACCAGAAGCAUUGAGAAGGAGCUACAGUGGCCGCAAGAUUUCCAUAUUUUGUUUGGAAGUUUCUAUAAAUUUCAUUCUCCCCACCUUCCAAAUCCAUGUGGGGUCAAGUAACACAAGAAAAGUGUAGAUUGCAUUGCAGCAUGUGAGUUUUGUGCAUAUAGUUCUCCGCAAGGAAGCCAGUGGUGGUGGCAUGGUAUUGCAGAGAGGUCAAUUUUUUUCAUUUGAAUUUACACGCGCUCCUUCUGAUCAUGUUGUUUUUUUCUAAUUUCCUAUGGUAUGAUGAAGGUAUUAUGUUGGCAUUCCAAAGGCACUGCAAAGGAAGGGAAGAACAAGAAAUAUGGGAAAAAAUGGCAAUGGUAUUUUAAUACAUAAGUUGCGCACUCAUAAUGUAUAGUCCAGGAACAUUUUUUUUUAUCUCCCCUCAAAUUUGUUAUGCUCUUUGUUAUUUGUCUCAUUUUUUCUGUAAUUAAAUAUUGUCAGCAUAGUCUAUAGAACUAUGUUUACUUAUCUUGCGAAAAAAAUGUAAGUUCUCUCUGAAUUGUCAAGCACGCAUGAAGAAAGCAUAUUAUCACCUUCGUUGUGGCAAGUGGAUUUUUUGUUCUUAAUUUUCCGAUAUUAAACUCUAGCUAUGAACACCACACAGAGAACACCUAGGCAUAGAAAUUUAUCACUUGCGUGCUACUACUAAGAACCCAGUCCUUUUUUUAGAUCUCUAAAUUGUAUUUACGUUGUCUUGUAGUAAUUCAGUUUAUAGUGUACUUGCAAAGUCAUGAUUAAAAAAUAUUUAAUUAUUUUUCAAACUGUUUGGACACCUAGCACAAUUGCUCUUGCAUUUAUUACUUCAGUUUGGCCGAGAUAAUGUCAUAUGUGCAUGUGUUCUGAAAUAAUUUAAACCGGUUGUUGGUAUAAAUGCAUUGUGCCUUGUGUAAGAAUUCUGCGCUAUGAUCAUUAACUGGUUGAUGAUCUGACGAGUGUGGGAAAUAUAAAAGUUGUUCUAUAACAUGAUGAUUAGAUCCUGGCCAAUAUAAAAGCAGGUAAACUUUCCGAACACUUCACCUUCUAAAUUUCUUCUUUCUUUACCAUUUCUCAGAAAUUUACUUCAAACAUAUAGUUAUGAGCUAGGAAUUUGGUUUUGUAGCCUGACCAAUAAUUGAUGAAACUAUGGCUUAAUAAUAUUUUCCUCAAACAUUUAGGACCAUAGAGGCACCAUGCCGAAGUAAGUGUUCUAAAUGAUAUAUAUUCUUAGAAAUUUAUUUCAAGCAUGCAGUUACCAGGAAUUUGAUGUCCUAGCCUGACAGGUAGUAAAUUGAAACUAUGGCUCAACAAGAUCCACCCAUUGGAUCGAAGCGCCAUAUAUUCUUGGGCAGGUGCCUAUUCACUACAUCUCAUGUGUUUUGCAGGCAAUAAUCAGUGAAUUGAGUGUACCUAAGGAUAACGACCAGAACCUAUCGAUAGUUCUGAUGGGUAUAUCUUAACUUUCUGCUUAGAAUCAUAUUUUCAAUGGGACUGCUCCAUACAACAUUAAGGAGCAUGGCUGCCAGGUCAAACUUCAGUUAUUAUAUAUGCUUCAGAGAGUAGUUGAGGGUGAAAUUAUCAGAGAUACAGACAAGAGCUUCUUUUAAUUCGGUCUUUAGUUUUGUUCACUGCAGAUUUGCUCUGCUGAAUUUCGCUCUUUCAUUUGAUAGAACAUAUGCUCUCUCUGCAAUAUACAGACUAUGUUUGUUCAUUUAUCUUAAGAGUAGAAUUACUCCUUAAUUCUGACCAAUAUUUUAGCAUGUAAUCCACUUGCAUCAUGAAUGCCUAAUCGAAUGCUCUUUUCCCUCUUAAAUCCGCAUACUGUAUUACUGAUUUACAAGUUCAGCUCUCCCAGUGCCACUGUGUCUCAUAUUUAUGGGUACUCUCUCUACCUUUGGGUGCAACAUAGAGUGGUAUUACUCUUCGGUAUUUCAGUGACGAUAAUGGCAUAUGUUCCCAUAAAUACAUCACUUUCACACAUCUGCUGUCUUCUUGCUUUCACUUGACUGUUCUGCAUUGUUGUCAUUUUUUAAUUCCCAUAAUUGUUGGAUUUUGUAAAUGAUGCCAUUAUCAUUUGGGAUAGUUAGCUGACGAUUACCGAUCAGUACUUUCCAGAGAUAGUUCCCUGAAAAAUAGUCGGUUAUUUCCAGCAAUCAAUGCAUGGAGUUCACAUGUUAAAACAUGGAUACCUAAUAGUCGGUUAUUUCUCAGUUGACGCAAUCGACCAUCUACCAAUAUGAGUAUGUCAUCUCACCUAAGGCCUUGUUUGGAAGGCCGGUUUUCAGGUGGAAUUCAGUGUAUAUUCCCAGCCGAACCAAAUACACCCAGACACACGCUCCGAGCCGUUUGGCAGCCCGGUUUUAGGUGGGCUGAAACUCUGAAAACCCCACAAAACCCGUCGGGUAGAAGUGUAUAUGAAACGCUUGUGGCACCUCGCGUUUUUUUCUCUCCUCAACGCGUUGGACGCGGCACUGGCGACGUAGCAAAGCGUUAACGCUUGACGUUCCUCACAAACUAUUUAGCUGUACUCAGUCCAAGUUCAAGCAGGCCGCUCCUUCCUCCUUCUGUUGAUUGGUGUUUGAUUACUUGUCUGAUGCAUUAGUUUGAUCGAUUCCUAGAUCUUAUUCUGGACUACUCUAUUUCUGAUUCUUUGGCUGGUUGAUGCGUAUAUGGUCAAGGUGUUGGAUGGUUCUUGUCCUCAUACAUUGCUAGCUGAUUUAUUUACUUGGUUGUUUUCAGACUUUACAAGUCGUUAGCAUUAACAAUUUUUUAUCCUAGGAAGAUACACGACAUACUGUACAAGAACUUGAGAAAUUUGUUGUUACUGCGGGCUUAGCUCUACCCUUCUAUGUGGAAUAAUUUUCCCUGCUUGCCAAACACAUGAAUCAACGAAGAGUAUUUGUGAGGGAGAGGGUUGUGGUGUAACAGAGUGUUUUGGGUGACAAGAGUGUUUUCACCCAAAACACUUGGAAAAUUACUCUGAAAUACUCUUAGAUACACUUUUGCCAAACGAGGCCUAAGGAGAUUUGCCAUUUGCUUCAGAAUGUCUGCCAAUGUUUUGGUUUAGAAAUUUGUGUAUUUCAAGACAUCUUUAACUUGCCUCACUAUGUUGCUAUGUCCUGGUAGGAUGGCACUGCAGAGAGAGGCUCAUAUGGACGCUGGCCAACUUAUAAGUUCAGAUGAUCAAGUGGUUUUCAUGAACUGUUUCAAACGAGCUGCUCGGAAGGGUCCUCAUAGAUCAGGUGAAGCAAGAAAUGGAAAUCAGAAAUCGCAAGACUAUAUGGAACAUCAGGGUUAUGGGAAUGACUCUUAAAAUGAGCCCGAGGGUUAUCUCAUAUGGGAAUGGCUCAUAACAUUCCAAGUGUUAUUGAAUUUUGGAUGGGCUAAAUAAGCAACGAUUUCAUAUUGAGUCCCGGUGUAUUUUUCCAUAGUUGUGCAUCUCAUUUGGACUCUAGCUGCUGAAUGUGCAUUGCGUUAUGUAUUUUGCAAACUCUAUUGCAUGGUAUCUUUAUUUGCAUCUGCUGACACGGUGAGAUCAGCAUUAGAAAAAUCUAAUAUUCUUCAUUGGACUAAUUACACUGGCCAACGUGUAUACACGUCAGCAGCAUCUCCAAGGACGCCAUAUAUACAUCGAAAAGGAGGAGCCCAGGAAUUGAAGGGGAUGCUGUAUGUCCAUAUCUUCUCUGGCCAACAACGGGCGUAGCAGGGUCGAGAGGAGCCAUAUGUGACGAACAAGGAGAUCUUAUUUAGCGAAAAGAGCAAGAACAAGCAGAACUUACCCUACAGGAAUACAGGGUCCAUGCCACCAGCUCCUCCGCUAAACGCACUAUCCACAUAGUAGAAGCCCAUGAGUAUUUACUAACCCACUCGAGGUUUUAGUUGAUUCAGUUUAUUAUACAUAUUACAGUCUAUAUGAUGUAUU